rnacentral:rRNA from 1 species
AUUGUGGUUCAUUCUGAUCCUAACACCACUCUGAAUACAAAGCAAUUUGCCUAAUUUCAGAAGCUAAGCAGGGUCAGAUCUGGUUAGUAUUUGGAUGGGUGACCGAUAAAGAACAUGCGAGAUCUCCAGGU